rnacentral:rRNA from 1 species
AGCAGCCGCGGUAAUUCCAGCUCCAAUAGCGUAUAUUAAAGUUGUUGCAGUUAAAAAGCUCGUAGUUGAAUUUCGGGAUUAGUACGCUGGUCAUGCCUUUGGUAUGUACUGGUGUUACUGGUUUCUACCUUCUGAAGAACCGUUAUGUCAUUUAUUUGGUGUGGCGGGAAAUCAGGACUGUUACUUUGAAAAAAUUAGAGUGUUUAAAGCAGGCUCGCGCUUGAAUACAUUAGCAUGGAAUAAUGAAAUAGGACGUUUGACCCUAUUUUGUUGGUUUCUAGGAUCGACGUAAUGAUUAAUAGGGAUAGUUGGGGGCAUUAGUAUUCAAUUGUCAGAGGUGAAAUUCUUGGAUUUAUUGAAGACUAACUACUGCGAAAGCAUUUGCCAAGGAUGUUUUCAUUAAUCAAGAACGAAAGUUAGGGGAUCGAAGACGAUCAGAUACCGUCGUAGUCUUAACCAUAAACUAUGCCGACUAGGGAUCGGAUGAUGUUAUUUUAAUGACUCAUUCGGCGCCUUACGG